AUGGAGGUGUUCGCCGCUGCUCCUCCAUGUCCUUCGGUGUUCGAACUCGCCGCCGCGGAGGUCGCCGCCGUGUGCGUGGGGCGUGGAGCGGCGGCCCGAUCCGCCGCCGCCUCGGUUGUCACCCGUAGUCGCCCCGUCACGGGAUCCGCCGUCGAGCCGCCUGCAUCCACGCCUGACACGCACCACCGCAGCCGGAUCCAUGUACGUGGGGUGCGGAUCGGCGGCCGGAUGUGCCGCCCCCUCGCCUCGCCAUGCCAUGUUGGAUCCGCCGACGCCGCGCCUUCUUGUGCAGGAUUAUCCCCGGAUCCGUCAUCGCGCCAGAUACGCCCUACCAUGGCCGGAUCCGCGCGCGUGGGGCGCAGAUUGGCGGCCGGGUGCGCCGCCUCGUCGCCUCCUACACGCCGUCAACCGUCGCCUCCACGCCUGCAGCCGUGCCGUACCGGAUCCGCCGACGUCGCGCCCGCCGCCGCUCGGCAGUGGAGGUGGCGCUCGACGUCGCGCCGCCAGUCGUGCCGUGCCGGAUCCGCCCAAUGCCGGCACCGCCAGCCGCCACGCCCGCUCGCCACUCUCAUCUCCGAAAAAAUAGGAUCUGGAUAUGUGGUUGGUUACGGGGUGGAUGUACAACACUGAUCUGACCGGGCACUUGUGAUGAGUACUUUUGAUCACACGGCCCCACCUCACGCUGCCCGCCGCCUCCCCCACCCGCCCCCGACGACCGCCGGCGUCGCCUCCGACUCCGGCGAGGCCCACCAGAACACGCGCCGCCGCGGCCAGCCCUCCCCUCCGCCGCUGUAUUCCUCCUCCUCCCACCCCGUCCGCCGCCAUCAACACCUCGCCUCCGCGCCGCCUUCUUCCCCGCCGUCGAGGCGUCAGCGGCGGCUAACGUCGUCGGAUCCCCGCCUCCUCACCUCCCCGUAACGCAUCCCGC
rnacentral:lncRNA from 2 species